CAGUCCUUAGGAACCAGCUUCCUCUAAGAAAAGAAAGAGUAUGAUCUUUGAUAUUCUCCACCUGGGACUGUUGUCCAUGGCAGGGAUGUGUCUCUGUAAAGGCCAUUGCUAAGAAGCAUGGAGCCCCUUUGCUCCUCCUGCUUGAAAUUGAUGCCCUUUCCUGCUCUAACCACCAGAGGGGAGACAUCAUCUGUUUCAUGUUCUGAUUUACACACAGGCGCUACCAAAGGCAGGAAGAGCAAUGAAGACUCUGCCCUCUCACCUUCUCUCCUCUGCUCCCUUUGGAGGAUGAAUGGGGUACCGCAAAGGAAACCUGGUUUCCAAAGGGUCAUAAAAGUGCUCCUGGAAGUCACCAUGUUUUCAUUCCUUUAAAAUGAUGAUAAACUACUUAUUAAGCCUUGGGCUAUGGACUUGGCACUGAACUGUGUUCUUUGCUAGUAUUUUCUUGUUUAAUUCUCACAACAACUCCAUGAGGUAAAUAUUAAUCUUAUGCCCAGGACAUGAGGGCAUAUAAAAGGUAAAUAACUGAUAAAUCAGUAAAAUGGGGAUUUCAAUCUAUAUUUGACCCCAAAGUCUGAAUUCUAAGCCAGCAGGUCUCAACUUUUUUGGUUGCAGGACUGCUUUACCUUAUUAAAAAUGACUAAGCGUC
rnacentral:lncRNA from 1 species